AGGGAAGAUUCAAUGAUGGAAUACUUGAAGAUUGCACAAGAUCUAGAGAUGUAUGGUGUCAACUACUUUGAAAUCAAGAAUAAGAAGGGUACUGAGCUGUGGCUGGGCGUUGAUGCUUUGGGUCUGAAUAUUUAUGAGCAUGAUGACAAGUAAGUAACUGGUGACGUCAGAUUUCUACUUCCUGUUGAAAUUGAGGGUUGUGAAGGAUACUGUCACUGAAAGGUUUUAAAGUUGUCUUUUAUUUUUAGGAUUUUGUUUUCUAUGCACCUCGUCUGAGAAUCAAUAAGCGAAUUUUGGCCUUAUGUAUGGGAAACCAUGAGCUGUACAUGCGAAGGAGAAAGCCUGAUACUAUUGAAGUACAGCAGAUGAAGGCUCAGGCCCGGGAGGAGAAACACCAGAAGCAGCUAGAACGGGCACAAUUAGAGAAUGAAAAGAAGAAACGAGAAAUAGCAGAAAAGGAAAAGGAAAGAAUAGAACGGGAAAAGGAAGAGCUGAUGGAACGUCUAAGGCAAAUUGAAGAGCAGACAAUGAAAGCCCAGAAAGGAUGUAUAAUAAAAGUGUUAAUGGUUUACAUACAAAAAAAGAAGCACUGAAGAGUAUAAGGGAGAUAAGCAUACAGAAUUAGAGCAUCUUUAUCAAGACAAUGCCAGUCAGUCGUCUGAGGGCAAAGGACAUCAGUGUACCUGCUGUUUUUCUAAUAAAGCUUUCCCAGGCUCUCCUGAAACCUC
rnacentral:lncRNA from 1 species